rnacentral:rRNA from 1 species
UGGGGAAUUUUGGACAAUGGGCGCAAGCCUGAUCCAGCCAUUCCGCGUGCAGGACGAAGGCCUUCGGGUUGUAAACUGCUUUUGUACGGAACGAAAAGGCUCUGGCUAAUACCUGGGGCUCAUGACGGUACCGUAAGAAUAAGCACCGGCUAACUACGUACGAGCACCCGCGGUAAUACGUAGGGUGCAAGCGUUAAUCGGAAUUACUGGGCGUAAAGCGUGCGCAGGCGGUUAUGUAAGACAGAGGUGAAAUCCCCGGGCUCAACCUGGGAACGGCCUUUGGGACUGCAUAGCUGGAGUUCGGCAGAGUGGGAUGGAAGUCCGCGUGUAGCAGUGAAAUGCGUAGAUAUGCGGAGGAACACCGAUGGCGAAGGCAAUCCCCUGGGCCUGUACUGACGCUCAUGCACGAAAGCGUG